GAUGAACGCUGGCGGCGUGCCUAAUACAUGCAAGUCGAGCGAACAGACGAGGAGCUUGCUCCUCUGACGUUAGCGGCGGACGGGUGAGUAACACGUGGAUAACCUACCUAUAAGACUGGGAUAACUUCGGGAAACCGGAGCUAAUACCGGAUAACAUGUUGAACCGCAUGGUUCAACAGUGAAAGACGGUUUUGCUGUCACUUAUAGAUGGAUCCGCGCCGCAUUAGCUAGUUGGUAAGGUAACGGCUUACCAAGGCAACGAUGCGUAGCCGACCUGAGAGGGUGAUCGGCCACACUGGAACUGAGACACGGUCCAGACUCCUACGGGAGGCAGCAGUAGGGAAUCUUCCGCAAUGGGCGAAAGCCUGACGGAGCAACGCCGCGUGAGUGAAGAAGGUCCUCGGAUCGUAAAACUCUGUUAUUAGGGAAGAACAAAUGUGUAAGUAACUAUGCACGUCUUGACGGUACCUAAUCAGAAAGCCACGGCUAACUACGUG
rnacentral:rRNA from 1 species